rnacentral:misc_RNA from 1 species
GAUGAAGAACGCAGUAAAAUGCGAUAAGUAAUGUGAAUUGCAGAAUUCAGUGAAUCAUCGAAUCUUUGAACGCACAUUGCGCCCGCCAGUAUUCUGGCGGGCAUGCCUGUUCGAGCGUCAUUUCAACCAUCAAGCCCCCGGCUUGUGUUGGGGACCUGCGGCUGCCGCAGGCCCUGAAAAGCAGUGGCGGGCUCGCUGUCACACCGAGCGUAGUAGCAUACAUCUCGCUCUGGGCGUGCUGCGGGUUCCGGCCGUUAAACCACCUUCAUAACCCAAGGUUGACCUCGGAUCAGGUAGGAAGACCCGCUGAACUUAAGCAUAUCAAUAAGCGGAGGA